UGUGCAAAGACUGAAGUGGCAAACUGCUGAGAUAGAAUAGAGGCAACACGCUGGGACAUCAUCUUAAUAUGAUUAUCUGCUAGCCUGAACUCUGAAGGAUGUGUCCUGCUCUUUGACUGUGGAACUGAAGCAUGCUUCCUCACAGACUCUGAAGGACCAGCCUCGUGAUCAGAUAUGAGCUGAAUAUCUAGGGAUGCUCUGUGAUCAUG
rnacentral:lncRNA from 1 species